CUCACCAUCAGGGCUGAGUUUGGAAGAAACUGCACAGACAGGAUUCUAAAGUUAGAAUCUCCUGAUUUUUCACAAGAUGCUGGACGGGAGAUUGGCAAAUGCACAUUUUAUUCUGGCUGUGACAUUGAUGCUGUGGAGUUCAGGAAAAGUAUGCUCAGUGGAUGUAGCAACAGAGGCUUUUGAUUCUGGAGUCAUAGAUGUGCAGUCACCACCCACAGUCGGGGAAGAGAAAUCAGCCACUAAUCUGGUAGCAAAAAUCUUGCUUCUUGAUGAACUUGUGUCCCUGGAGAAUGAUGUAAUUGAAACAAAGAAGAAAAGGAGCUUCUCUGGUUUUGGGGCUCCUUUGGACAGACUCUCAGCUGGCUCUGCCGAUCAUAAAGGUAAACAGAGGAAAAUAGUAGAUCAUCCAAAAAGGCGAUUUGGUAUCCCUGUGGAUCGGAUUGGUGGAAAUCGUCUCUCAAAUUCCAGAGGCUAAUUGAUUCCAACUUACAGUAUCUUUUGGAUUAAGUCACUGAGAGAUUCAGGAAGAUUGAAAAUGGAAAAGAAAUAAAAUGCAGCAGGUACCCAAAGAAAGCAACUGUGGCUUGAGACUAAGCACCUAGCUUGUACGUUGAAGAUGUUCUUUUUAAUGCAUUUUGAUCUGUAAUUGCCAUUUUGCAUUAUUGUCUUUGCA